rnacentral:lncRNA from 1 species
AUGCGUGUGUGUGCGGGCGGGGUCCUCAGACCCCCCCUUUUAUUUACUCUGAUGUACUUUUCAUCCUUUCCAAUAGAAGUGUGUUUCUAUUGGCCCGUUGGCUGUGUCACCGUCAGCAGUUACCAGGGACCGUCCUGCCGUCGCCUCUACCCACCACGGGACCACCACCCUCUCCUCUACCCACCACGGGACCACCACCGUCACCGUCAGCAGGUCAGAGCCCCCUCACAGCUUCACCCUUUUGAAAUAGAUCUAUCUUUAUUGAAGUGUAUUCACCCUGGAGGCCUACCUACACCAAUCGCACCAACACCACACAGCCACACUACCACGCACACAACAGACGCACGCUACCUCCCACACCUACAUCCCGUUAUAGACCCCCCAGCCUUCAGUAUAGACCCACACACACCCACCAUCACCACAAUAGACCCACACACACAUAUCAAACCACAGAACACACCAGACCCACACCAACACACCCACACACACAACCACUCAGACCACAAAGACCACCUCCACCCUCCACCCGUCCUCUCCUCCCACCACCACCAACACACACCCGGUACAUUGCACCAGAUGGCCCAACCCGUGGAAAAGUAUAUUUUAAAAUACUCCAGGCCCUGCACCACAGGGACACAGCGGACAGAGCGGUGUCCUCCCGGGAACUCCCCAGGGGGAUGUCACGACAGGUCCACAAAUGAUCCCACUUCAUCAAACCCAUCACCCACAGACACCACAUCACAAAGAAAUAAUGACAACACCAACACCUGGAUGCACAAUGACAUGUUGAUCCUAACAGAACACUACACACACACAAUAGACCAACUCACACAAACACCCCAGCCCACCAACACACUCUCACUUAAGAUCGCUACCAACUGGGCACACAAGAGAUUGGGCCACAGACUAUUACCCACCACCUUACAUCAACUAGAACACACACUACUCCAUACACCGUCCGCCCCUCACUCACCACUCAUCACCAACCCACACCCCCUCAACCUACUCCCCCCCUCCCCCAUACCGACCAGUCCCCAUACCACCCCACCUCGAGCCUGGACCUUCCCCUCACCGACACCUCCACAGCCCACACUCAGCCACACAGACCCCCCCCCCCCCUCCCUCUGCCUCCCCAACCAGCACCCACACACACCCUAG